UGUCUUGGUUGUCAGAAACUGUGAUGUGC
rnacentral:piRNA from 1 species